rnacentral:rRNA from 1 species
AACGUAGGAGACAAACGUUAUCCGGAGUUACUGGGCGUAAAGGGCGCGUAGGCGGUCAGCACAAGUCAGUUGUGAAAUCUCCGGGCUUAACUCGGAAAGGUCAACUGAUACUGUGCGACUAGAGUGCAGAAGGGGCAACUGGAAUUCUCGGUGUAGCGGUGAAAUGCGUAGAUAUCGAGAGGAACACCUGCGGCGAAGGCGGGUUGCUGGGCUGACACUGACGCUGAUGCGCGAAAGCCAGGGGAGCGAACGGG